GAAACUGUUUAACUUGAGUGCAGAAGGGGAGAGUGGAAUUCCAUGUGUAGCGGUGAAAUGCGUAGAUAUAUGGAGGAACACCGGUGGCGAAAGCGGCUCUCUGGUCUGUAACUGACGCUGAGGCUCGAAAGCGUGGGGAGCGAACAGGAUUAGAUACCCUGGUAGUNCACGCCGUAAACGAUGAGUGCUAGGUGUUAGGCCCUUUCCGGGGCUCAGUGCCGCAGCUAACGCAUUAAGCACUCCGCCUGGGGAGUACGACCGCAAGGUUGAAACUCAAAGGAAUUGGCGGGGGCCCGCACAAGCGGUGGAGCAUGUGGUUUAAUUCGAAGCAACGCGAAGAACCUUACCAGGUCUUGACAUCCCGAUGCCCGCUCUAGAGAUAGAGUUUUACUUCGGUACAUCGGUGACAGGUGGUGCAUGGUUGUCGUCAGCUCGUGUCGUGAGAUGUUGGGUUAAGUCCCGCAACGAGCGCAACCCUUAUUGUUAGUUGCCAUCAUUCAGUUGGGCACUCUAGCGAGACUGCCGGCAAUAAACCGGAGGAAGGUGGGGAUGACGUCAAAUCAUCAUGCCCCUUAUGACCUGGGCUACACACGUGCUACAAUGGCUGGUACAACGAGUCGCAAGUCGGUGACGGCAAGCUAAUCUCUUAAAGCCAGUCUCAGUUCGGAUUGUAGGCUGCAACUCGCCUACAUGAAGUCGGAAUCGCUAGUAAUCGCGGAUCAGCACGCCGCGGUGAAUACGUUCCCGGGCCUUGUACACA
rnacentral:rRNA from 1 species